rnacentral:rRNA from 1 species
GACGAACGCUGGCGGCGUGCUUAACACAUGCAAGUCGAACGGAAAGGCCCUGCUUGCAGGGUGCUCGAGUGGCGAACGGGUGAGUAACACGUGGGUGAUCUGCCCCUUACUUUGGGAUAAGCCUGGGAAACUGGGUCUAAUACUGGAUAGGACCAUGCUGUAGGUGGUGUGGUGGAAAGAUUAGUUUCGGUAAGGGAUGAGCGCGCGGCCUAUCAGCUUGUUGGUGGGGUAAUGGCCUACCAAGGCGUCGACGGGUAGCCGGCCUGAGAGGGUGGACGGCCACGUUGGGACUGAGAUACGGCCCAGACUCCUACGGGGGGCAGCAGUGGGGAAUAUUGCAAAAUGGGCGCAGGCCUGAUGCGGCGACGCCGCGUGGGGGAUGACGGCCUUCGGGUUGUAAACUCCUUUCAGCCAUGACGAAGCCCUUGUGGUGACGGUAGUGGUAGAAGAAGCACCGGCUAACUACGUG